rnacentral:rRNA from 1 species
GAUGAACGCUAGCGGCAGGCCUAACACAUGCAAGUCGAGGGGUAGAAGGAGCUUGCUCCUUUGAGACCGGCGCACGGGUGCGUAACGCGUAUGCAAUCUACCUUGUACAGGGGAAUAGCCCAGAGAAAUUUGGAUUAAUGCCCCAUAGUAUAUAACCUUCGCAUGUUGGUUAUAUUAAAGUUCCAACGGUACAAGAUGAGCAUGCGUCCCAUUAGUUAGUUGGUAAGGUAACGGCUUACCAAGACGAUGAUGGGUAGGGGUCCUGAGAGGGAGAUCCCCCAGACUGGUACUGAGACACGGACCAGAGUCCUACGGGAGGGAGCAGUGAGGAAUAUUGGUCAAUGGUCGCAAGACUGAACCAGCCAUGCCGGGUGCAGGAAGACGGUCCUAUGGAUUGUAAACUGCUUUUAUACAAGAAGAAACCCUCCCACGUGUGGGAGCUUGACGGUACUGUAGGAAUAAGGAUCGGCUAACUCCGUG